rnacentral:lncRNA from 1 species
AACAUAACAUCCUUAUUAAACCACUAGCUAGAAUAAGAACUCAGCGUACGUACUCGCUAGACAUGCAAGAUUCUACUUACACACAAGUACCCACUAGAGAGACUGAAAACCUUUUUCCCAUAACCUCAUUACUCAGUCUUUUCUACUGGGGUUUCUGUUUCAACCUCCUCCACUGCUUCAACAGGUUUCUCUUCUCCCUUGACUUCUUCUUCUUCCUUUGGAGCUUCGACUGCAACUUCUGGUUCUGGUGCCUGUGUCUCACCAGACUCGGUAGCCUCUUUAGCUUCUUCAACAACCUGCUCUGCAGGUACUUCCUCUGGAGACUCCUCUUUUGUCUCCUCAACAACCGGCUCUGGUGUUUCCUUAGGUGUCUCCUCCUCUGUUUUCUCUACCACUGUUGGCUCUUCUGCAAGAAUCUUGGUCUCUUCUACCACCUCUUUAGUCUCAACUUCAGCUGGGGCCUCGGGGACUGGUGCCACGGCCUCUUCAGAUGCUGCAGGUGUCUCUACUUCUUCUUUUGGCUCUUCAGCUACUGCCUCUGGUGCUGCAGCGACUGCUUCUUCUGUGGCGGUCUCAAUCUUGAUUGGUUGUUCAGUUUUUUCCUCUGCAAGUGCACUCUGCGCUGACACAACCUGCAGGAUAACCAGAUGAUCAAAGAAUGUUCACCAAAAUGCCGAUGCUAUCUAUUUUUCAAGAACUGUUACUUGAAGUGUCACAGUGAUAAGGAAAAAUGUUCACCAAAAUGCUGACGGGGUUUUACCUUUUGUUAUAUAUAUAUAUAUAUAUAUAUAUAUAUAUAUAGAGAGAGAGAGAGAGAGAGAGAGAGAGAUGAGGAUUAUGAGUUUUCAAAUAUGAUUAUCCAAGAAGUAAAGAUCAUAAAAUUGAUCAAGAUUUUUCAAAUUUUAACACUUGAUAUGUAUCAAAUGACUAAGAAGAAGCAUCUGUUAAAUAAGUUUCUCAACAGGGACAUUAAUUGAUUAAUAGUGAAUGAGUUACCUCGACAGUGGCCAUUGGAACUGAAAGGAAAAUAAAGCAAAUGGGAUACAAAGAAAACUGUAAGAAGCAAAAUAGAAAGGAGUGAUUAUCACACAAGAAGACGAGGAAAGAUUGCUUUGAGUGUUUGAUGCAAAGUGAUCAAUGAGAGUGGGUUUAUAUAGAGAUGUAAGGGUUAGUAUAAUAUGUUUUGUAGGCCAUCAAUCCAUGAUAUUAUUAUAUUCAUGUAAAUAUAUAUUUAUUAUUAAUAAAGACUUAAUUUUUUUAAUAUUUAUAUAAUAUUAUAUUAAUGAAUCUAAUAUUUAAUUUAUGAAUUUAGAGUAAAAAUAAAGUUCAUGAGAUAAAAAUAUUUUCCAAAAAAAAUUAUAAAGUUGUUAUAAUUCUAGGAUUUAUAUUGCAUCAAAGCAUUGUUCUUAAAAUGUUCUUGGUCGAUACUUUUUUAAAUACUGAAUAAUAUUAGAGUUGUAGAAACUCAUACGUAUUAUGUUCUUUCCUUUAUGAAAUGAAGAAGUUGAUCUCAAAAGUUUAGGUAUAAGGAAUACCUAGAACUAAUAUGUAGGUGUUUGUCAUAAGAUAUGUACAUUGAACUGACCCGCAUGAGAAUUCCAAAUGAAGAGAUCAUAUAUGUCUAUUGAAAGGCUCACGUAACGGUUAUGUAAGUGAUCCUUAGACUUGAGAUCACUAGGUUAUCUUAUAUAGAGAAUAUUAUGCUUUAAUCAUGUUGUAUGUUAUCUUAAUUGAGGUAACGAAGGAGCGAACAUUGGGUAUAUCAUGAACUAUAUAAAGGUAUUUGAGUGAUCAAAAGAGGAUGCAUCACUCUAUGUGAAUUAAGAAAAAUAUUUCAUCUGUUCCCAAAUAGUAUUGACUGAGAAAUCUUUGGUCAGAAUGGAAUGAGAUUUGAAAAGAGUUUCAAAUCUUAUUCAAACGAUCAAUAACUAUUAUAUGGAGAACAAACAUUAUUUAAGAAGGCAAACAUACUCCAUGCUUUAAUGUUAAAUCGAGAUAUUAUUGAUGAAAUGAUAUUGAUUACACUAAGAAACCAGUCACUAAAAGUUUAAGUCAAACCACUAAUAUCUUUUUCAAUAUUUGAGGGAUCAUGAUAUGUUGCUAGACGAUGCACCUAAUCUUCAAAUACAAUUUAAUCAAUUGUUCAAUUGAUAAUAAAUUAAAUUGUUUAAUUUCUUUAAUUCUAUUUAAUUAUAAUUAUAAUUUAUAUUUGGGCCAACAAAUAUAAGGACUAGAAUGUAAUUUACACAUGGAUUACAUUUAUAGACCUAGAAAAAUCAAAUAAGAACUUGAUUGAGUUAAUUUAUAAAAUUAUCAUGAAUUAAUAUAUGUAUAUUAUUCAAGGGGCAAAUUGGUAUUUUUUUAAUUUAUAGGGUUUUUCAGAUUUUCCUAUAAAUAUUAAUUUACGUCUCUUAUUUUUUAUUGGUUGUUUGUUAGACAGAAAAAUUACAUAAGUCACAUAAUAGAAAACUAGCACUAUAGGCAUAACAAUCUCUCUCUUUUAACUAGGGAUUUAAGAGAUUUUUUAUUGGUGGUUCGUAUAGAUUAUUAUUGGAGCCCGAAUAAUUGGAUGACUUGUAGUUUGCAACAACUCAAUCUUUAAAGAAUUAUUUAAAGUAAAAAAAUCAAACUUUCAAGUAAUAUAUCCCUGUAUAAUUUUAUUUUAUAAUUUUCAAUACGUAUAUAAUACUCGGAACCAAAAGUAACCGACCUCACGCUCAAUCAAUUGAGUGAGGGAGCUACUUUGAGGAAUCGUGGGAUAUGACACCUCAGCCUCACUGAAUUCAACGGGGAUUAGCAUGUUUGGUAAUGAUGUUUAGGAAAUUUUCUGGAGAUGGGGUUUAAGUAUUUUUAAUGGCUAGUUGUUUGUAUGCUUUUGAUCGGGAAAAAGGGUAAAAUAAUGGAGGUCAGGUCAUCUUCAUGAAAGCCAUCAUCUUCUUUUGGUUUUGUGUGCUUGUGUGCUUAGCGCAGUCGGCCCCGUACGUGACCUGUUUUCCAUCCUCCACCUGCCAUUCGUCCUUAAGACUAUUUUAUUUUUAUUUCUUGGCAUCGACCUUGCCAAGCUGUUUACCCUAUGGUAAAUAUUGUCGCACCGCCCUCUCAACUUCAUGAUUGUAUGAAUUUUGUCUUCCUAACAUGGAGUUAAUUAGUCCCAUUAAACCUUCAUAAUUAUAAUAUAUGAUGAUGCAUCUCACAAUAAUUUCUUGACAUUUUUGUUUCCUGUGGAGGCUGGUAAUUCACCCGUGAACGUACAAUGUAUUUGGGAAGCACCAUUGAUUUAUAUGUAGACUUGAGAAAAUAGAUGUUUAAUUUAUAAGAUUAUAUAAAGAUAUUUAGUUUAUAUUUUAUAGUAUUAUCCAUAAUAAUAUAAACCAAGGUGAAAUGUAUCAUAUGCUCUUUGUGUUAAUGUCUCACAUCAACCCGAGUUCGUCCUAUUUAAUUAUGCUAAAUCAAUUUUAUAAAAUCACCAUUUUGAUCAUUUUUUUUUAAUCUUUAUCCUCCAGGAUUUUUUUUUCUUCAAAAAAUAAAAUCAUUUUAAACAAGUUUUAUCCAAUCAAUCAUUUAUAUUCUGAUUUUUUUUUGGAUUUUUAUCAUGUAGAAUGACUUUUAUUUUUUAUUUUUUUUAUAUGUAUUAUAUCUUGCGCUAACUAGUUUACGCACAUUAAAUUAGAUCUCUACACUCCAAACAAGGCUUAUAAAAUAAGACUUACACCAGUAAUAGCAAGCAUAGGGAGUUAAAAUGAAGCCUAUAUAAAAAGCAUGUAUUUUAGCCCAUAUCAAUUUUACCAAUUCAAUCAUUUAAAACCAACAUGGAUGGAAUUCUAAGAGUAUAAUUUCCUCAAAACACUUAAUUAUAUUGAAUGUGUUUGAAAUUAUUUUUAAAAAUGAAUUUGAAUUUUUUAAAAAAAUCCCUUAUAUAUUAAUAAAAAAAAUACUUGAAAUUCAAGGAUAUUUUUAUAAAAUCACACUAGCAGACUCUCAAAAUCAAAAAACCACCACCAUCACCGCCUCAAGUGAUGAAUUGACGUCAAAAGAAAUAUUUUUUUUAUUUUAACCUAUAAAAUUCUCAAUAAGCUAUAGACGUCAUUGUCUUUAUAUUAUGUCUAUAUUAUUAUUGUUGUUGUUUUGUUUUUUUUAGCCUUUUCUAGAAAAAGAAGUUCGGCCUAUGGGCCUGUGUCUUGUGGGAGUUGAAGGGUCGCCCAAAACCAAUGGUUAUAAUUUACGUAAAAGAAACGAAUAAAACUCUGACGUGGCACUUUAAAGUUGAUCUACUCUCUCUAGCGUUUCUAAAGCUUGUGGAUCCCACGAGAUGGAAAGCUGAGACAGAUUUUGACAUUAGUGAAGGAAGACUCGAUUAGCUGAGUUGGAGGAGCUCCUAGCUCUUGAUUACGUGUCAACAGUCUUUCUUUUCCUCUCUUUUUUUUUUUUUUUCCAAACUUGCUUGAAAACUUUUAUAAGCAAUACAAUAUUCAAAAUUAAAAUAUAGACAGACUUAGAAAUGAAGUAAAUUAUAUUAAAAUAAUAUUUUUUAUAAAAAAAUUUCAAAACUCAAUAAAAAACUAGUUAAAUCACCGUUCUAAACUUAUCUUAAAAGUGAAAGUUCAAAUUAUACCUGGAAUAAAGAUUCUGUUUGGAAGGUGGUUGCGGUUAUUUUUUAAAUAACUUUUCGUAUUAAAAUGUAUUAAAAUAAUAUUUUUUUAUUUUAAAAAAAUUAUUUUUUAAAUCAGCAUAUCAAAACGAUGAAAAAAAUAUAAAAAAAAUUAAUUUUUUUAAUAAUUUCGAAACUCAUUGUUAUUUAUUUAUUUAUUUAUUUAUCAAAAUUAAUGUUAACACCGUAAAAUCAUGAUGAUGAUGCUGCUGCUGCGAUGAAUAUAGAACAGUUAUCUCGUAGAUCCCCGAGUCAAUAAUAGUCCUAAUUGAAAACUUCGUACGGUGGCGGGCACCAAGUUAGAUGCAUUUGCAGCAGGGGAUGGCUGGUAUCCACCGUGUCGUUUCAUCCCCCGAAAAGGAUUGCCAGAACGGCAAAGAGUUCAACAAUUCUGUAAAGGUCUGCCUUUUAGGUCUAGGUUCAGGUUUUGGGCGGUGGGCUGGCCUACCAGACGUGGAGCCCACAUGGGUUCCGUGGUCCAGCCUGCCAAUCAGGCCGUGCCACGUGAAAUGCACGUCACCCACCACGUGGGAUGAUGCUGUUGCCAUGUCAUUAUUGGAUGGGACAGGGUCAUUUGGAUGCAAAAAGAGGUGGGCCCACUGGACGAAAUUAGGGAGCUGUUGGUAGACGAUGGACGGAGGAAGCUAGGCUUUUCGGAGGCAACAUCCAGAUUGUGGUAAUCUUUUGUAACUUUAGUUAAGAGAAAGUUUUGUGUUUUUUUUUUUUUUUUAAUAUAUUAAAAUAAUAUUUAAGCAAAGCUCAAUGUUCAUUACCAAUCGGUUAGGUCGAGUGGCAAUGACCUUUGUUGGCUCAUCUAGAAGGUAACUGAGUUCAACUCAGUCCAAUUUUACCUCAUGUAUUUCGCUUGUUGUUUUGGAGGUGAAAAUAGCAUACGCUGUUCACUGAGGUUUGCGUCUUCUAGUCUUUUGAUUGGCUUCCGUUAACAUUAUAGUUUUGAAACUCGGUCUAGCCUGGUAGGUCGAUUCGGGACCUGGCCGAUCCAGAGCUGAAAUCGGGCCGGGUUGAAGAAAAAACGGGGAAAGAAAAAACCCAGUGUGACUUGGCGGGUUAACCCGGCAAGACGCGGUUGCAAACCCGUUGACUUUUGUUUUUUUUUUUGUUUUUUUACUAAAACGACGUCAUUUUGAUUUUUUAAAAAAGAAAUGACCCGGCCGACCCGGUGACCCGGUCAAAACCCGGAACCUGGACCUUGGACCGGGCCGAGUCUUAAAACUAUGGUUAACAUAUUAUAAAUCAAAAAGCUAUGCUUUUGUAUAUAUAUAUAUAUAUAUAAUUAAUGUUUAGGUGUCAUAACGUAUUUUUUGACAUCGUGUAAAAAAUAUAAUUGUUAAUAAAAAAAUCAAUACUUAUAUAUAAUAAAAUAUAAUGAAGAUCAUAUACGUUAAUAAAAACAUGUGAGAUCUCAAGCUAAUUUUUAACGUGAUAGAAAAAUAAGACAAUGUUGAAUUGCAACAUUAAAACACCAUUUUCUUAAUCUUUGUAUAAUAAGUUUUCUAAGGAAAAGUGCAAAGAAAAAAAACUAAAAAACAAUUAUAAAAGAAUGAAGAUAAAAAUAAAAAAAAUGGUAUAAAUAAAUCAAUUGUAGAGUGAUAAAUAUUCCAAGUAUAAAGAAUAAAAAAUAAUAUUUUUUAUCCAAAAAACAUAUACAAAAAAAAUUACAAGAAAAUAAAGAUAAAAAGAUUGUGAUAGAAAUGCCAAGUAUAAAGAAGAAAGAACAUAAGAAAAACUUAUUUCUAGAAAAAUAAAAAAUUACAGAUUUGUCACCGACAUAGUAAAACAAUUGAUAAAAUUUAUAAUUAUGUCAUUUUUACAAUAAAAUAUUAUUUCCUUUUAGUAUAUGUAUAAUUAAGUUAUCAUUAAAUAUUCUUCGAAGAUAAUUAAAAAAACAGUAUAUAUCAUUAUACAACUAGAAGUAUUGAUGACCAUAUUAAAGUCAUUUCUAGCCAAUCAAACAAUAAAGAAAAAAAAAAUCAGUUUAAGUCCUGAUUAGGUGAUUCCUAAUUAUAGAGGAUGAAAUCAUAAAGAUGCUACGAGGAGUUAUGAUUUCUAAAAGAUUAUUACUAAAGAUCAAUCUACUUGUUUUUAGUGGGAUAAUCUAAAGAGUUAGAUAAGAAAAUGUAAAAAGUUUUUUAAUAUGCAUUUUACUCUAAUGCAUUAAUGGGUGGAGAUAGAUUUUUUAUACCUAGAAGGAAGGAUAAAAAUAUGAUAUGAAGGGUUUUUAAUAGGUGGAGAUGAUUUGAAAAAUUAAAAAGAAAUUAACAGAGUUAUUUGUAUCAGAUUUAAUAGGAUAAUGUAUAAUAAUUCAAUAUAUUAGUACAAGAUUCAGGAGUCGAGGAGUAUGUUGAAUUAUUUAAAGAACUUAAAUCUUUGAUGAAUGUUUUAAAUUCAUCACUAUCAAAAUCCUACUAUAUUUCUAAUUUUAUAAAUGGACUCAAAGAUGCCUAUGCUUAAGAUUCUUAAACCCAUAACUUGAUAUAGACUUUUGAUCAAGCUAAAUAGAAAGAAAAAUCCAACAAUGCUUUGGCCAAUAAUAAUAAAUUCAUACCAAGAACCAACUAUUCAUAUGGUUUGGGAAAAAUAACAAGUGAUUCCUACUCUAAACCUCUUAAUCAUUAAAAAAAAAACAAAGGUGUUAUAUAGCUCAAAACAAUAGCCUAAAACCUUACAUGAGCAAAGAAAAAGGUUGAGACAGUGUUUUAAAUAUAAGGAUAAGUAUAUACUGAGACAUCGAUGUAACAUGAGAGAUUGCAUAUGAUAAAAAGAUGAGAAAAAAAAAAUGAGGAAUUUGUAAAUGUAGCUGGAGGAUACAAUAAUAGAAUAAUAGUCGAGGAUGAUAAAAUCAAAGAAUAUGGAUUGUCCUUGAAUGCAUUGGUAGAUAGCUAUACAAAUAACACAAUCAUGAUCAAAUAUUCUUGUCAAGGAAGGAACAUUACCAUUCUAAUUGAUAAUAGUAGUACACAUGGUUUUAUUGAUACAUAAGUGAUUGAAGAAAUCAAGAAAAUCAUCUAAAGGACCACUAUAUUGGCAAUGAUAGUAGCUAAUUAAGGUAUUAUGAGAUGUGAUGCUUAUAGUUGUGAGUUCAAAUGGUCCAUGCAAAGUUAUGAAUUUCAAGCUGAUUCGAGGAUAUUGAAACUUGAUAAAUAUGGUAUGGUGCUUAGAGUAUAUUGAUUAAAGAUUUAUUCACAAAUUAUAUUUUAUUUUAUUAAAAGAAUCAUUAAAAAAAAUGGCAAAAUAAUUGGGCUAAAAAGAACUGUGGAAUAAGCAAGGUUGCAAGUAAUCACAACAACUAAUGCACAUAAGAGUUUAAAAGAAGACUUGUAGAUUUUGUUAGAUAUUGUUUUUUCCAUUUAAGCUUUUGAAGCACAAAAAAAGGAGUGUAGAAUAUAAUAAUAAAGUUAUUAUUAAAAGAAUACCAAUUUAUGUUUACAGAAUCAAAACAUCUUCCAACUGCCAUGAGCUUGGAUCAUAAAAUACUCAUGAUACUAGAAGCUAAAUCAGUCAAUAUUAGACCAUACAAAAUAUAUUUUAUGUAAAAAAAAAAGAUAGAGAAAUUGGUAAAGAAGAUGUUGCAUAAUGAAAUUAUUUAACACAACUACAACCUAUUUUCUUUUUUAAUAUUAUUGGUUAAGAAGAAAUGCUAUACUAGGAGAAGAGAACCUUUAAGACUCAUUAUAGGCACUAUGAGUUGAAGGUAAUUUUAUUUGGUUUCACUAAUAUAAUAACCAUGUUCAAGAUUUAUUAUUUGUAUUUUGGAUUUUGAUUUUAAUUUCUUUUAUCUUUCGUACUUUAGGUUGUUGUUUUAGUAAAUAUAGGGUUUUCUAAUCUAUUUAAAGAUUUUAUAAAUUUCUUGAAGAGACAACCAUUCUAUACUUAUUUUUAGAUAAUAAAAUUAUAAAUAUAAGGUUCACAAUUGCAUUCUUUUUAACUCAUUAAACUUGUAUGUUUUCUGUGUUAUUUUUGUCCUAAGAUGAACCUCUUAUAUAAACUGAUUUAAUAAAACCUCUUGGAAAAAAAUUGAGAGAAAUUGACAAGAACAUUGUACAUUUGUACCUUCAGGCUUCAAAGUUACACACAUAUACAAGAAUCUGUACUAUUCAACGUUCACUGGAAUUUUUGGAUUGAAGAGUUCAGUGGGUUCCUCUCACAAGCCCAUAACCUGACAGAUUGAAGUAUUGAAACAUUGGGUUCAUCACAUUACAUUUUUUUUUAAAAAAAGAAGAAGAUUGAAACAAUAUAAAUGGCCCAUGCAGGUUUCGAACCUGCGACCUUCGCGUUAUUAGCACGACGCUCUAACCAACUGAGCUAAUAGGCCAAUCCGAUGGGUAUCUUCUAAUUAACUGUACUGAAAAUAAGUGAAUAGGUUGGAUCUAAUCCAAUUCUGCAAGCAUAUCAUUUUAAAAAUCCAUCAACUCUGUGUCCCCAUUCUGUUUCUUCUUCUUCAUCUUUAGUUCAUACCUAAUUCAGAUAACAUGGCUAGAAAUUUGAUAUUCAGUAAGCAUCCCUCUUUUUAAAGAAAGUUAAAUGCCCUAACAGCAUCAGUGGUGAGUGCAGGCCAGUUCUUUGAAUGUUCUGCUUCGUCUACCUUGCUAAGAUGUCACAAUUAUAUAUCCAGCAGCUCCUAUACUGGAACAAGUGAUAGAUACGGCCAUGCUAGGCUAUCCUUCUAGCUUUUUGCCAAACCCUUGAAAUUAUUUGUUGUGGUUGGCAUAAUGGGUGGUCCAUAUAACGAUUGAUGAGUAUGUUGGCUCCAUUCGUUAACAUUAUGCCAUUAGAAAAGGGAACCCACUGGAAUCUUAAAUACUCCAAUAAAGAUCACAACUGUUGACGGGAUGUAUAUAAUGAUUCAAAUCCAAUAACAAUAAAGGGGUGAAGAAGAUUCAGGCAUCAUGUUUUUGACAAUGUUUAUAAAUUUGAAGCCUUUAAUCUUUGCCAGUUUUAAAGCCAGCGGUGUUUCUGUUGACGGUCAGUGCCUUGGAAAUUAAUUGUUCGUAGAUGGGUUUUAAUAUCAAACAAAGAACUCAAGAUCAGGCAUUCAACACAACGAAUAGACUGGUAUCUGCUAAGAAGGUGGAUAGAACACAAGUUUUUUCUGCUUUCUAUCCAUUAAUAACUGGAUCAGUGUCACCUAUUAAGGGUUUUUUUCGCCUUGGAUUCGAGGUAAAGUAGUGAUGAUAACUGGAAAAGCAGCGUUAAUUAAAGAUAUAGAACUGGUUAGGUGAAAAGCACAUGAAGAAAUCAAGAUUUUCGACAUUUACAGGCAAGCAAUUGUUUUCCACAUCACAAUUACAAUGCCAUAAAUUUCUCAACAUCAUUUUUACAAGCAUUUGGGGUCAUAAAGUUCCAAAUAUCAUAAAACAAAAUAAUUGCUUCCAUAUACAGCUAUGAGAACCAAGAAAAUGACAAGAGUACUCUAGUUGAAUAGAAAUAAAACUCUCAAGUUCACAUACAUAAAUCAAAUGACAUGUAUAAUCAAAAAAAUGGUUUUAAAUCAAAACAAAUGACAUAAUCCAGAUAUACCCUCUUCUCAUAAAUUAAUACACAACAAUGAAAUCCUGCCUUACAAAAACAGGACCAGCACACCUGCAAUAGCUAGAACCAAUUGACUCCAAAUACCUACACCAUUGAUCCUAUAAGAAGAAUUUGGGGGGGACUUUCCUGGGGCGCUCCCUGCUCCUGCUGAGUCGUCAGAUGUUGGGGAAUCUGCAGUAGGGCUAGUGUCAGGAGCUGGUGCUGGAGCUGGGGUUGGAGGUAUAUUAGUACCAAAGAUUGCCUCAGGAAGGAGGACUUUGUCAACUUGAUAGAUUGCAACAGGAUCAGUUGAAUGCACACUACUACUAACUUUAGUUUUAGACCAUCCUGAAUCAAGGUGCACGGUCCCAGAUGUAUCGGUGAAAUUCAAAGCAUAUCCUCCUGCACCAGCAAAUGUGCUGACAGGGCUCACUUGGCUAAGGUUCUUGAAAUCAGACAACGAGUAAUAAUGUGGCAAGGCAUGAAAAAGAAUGAGUUGCUUGAGCUGGUCUUGAGUUAGGUUUGACAAAGAAGCCUUCUUGAGAUUUUUGAAGGCAUCAUCUUUUGGUACGAAGAUGGUAAUGCCUUCAUCAGUGUUGUUGGCUUGGUUUUGAAAGGUGUCAAUGACUUUAGUGGACUCAAGGUAGUUAAGGAAGUUGUGGAAUGGGCCAGCAACAGAGAGUAAAUCAGUGAGGUUAACGUAAGGAGGUGAUGGUGCUGGUGCUGGGGAUGGAGUUGGGGUUGGUGCUGGAGGACUAGCUACUUUUUGAGCAUAUGCUAGUGGAGUGCACGAAAACAGCAGUGUGCUGCUAAGCACAAUAAUCAUAGAAAACUUCAUGGUUUAUCUUCUCUAAAUCCCUGCAAGAACCAAAUCCCAUCAUUGAUUAUAUCUCAAUUUAUGAGCACAAAUCUAUCGAUGGCAAACCAAUGCGAAUCCACAGCAUGAACAGAAAAACUAGCUAAUAAUUGGAGAAAUCAAACCCAGCAUUUCAGAAUCCAGGUGAGAUUCCCAAAUCCACAAAAUCCGACUAACCAAAUCUUUGUAAUGACCAUGGAAAGCCAUGGCUAUCACUACUUCAACAACAACAACAACAAAAAAAAAACAAGAUCCUUUUCAACUCAUCUAUAGAUAGUUUUAAAACAAUUACUAUAGCAAAACCAACCCUCUCUUCUAGGCACAAAUAAGAUAUUAAAUUAAUUGAGAAAGGUUGGAAGAGGAUCUAAUCUAAUGACAGAGAAAUGAAGCAAUGACUGAUGACAUAAAAAAUGCAAAUGCCAAUGCCGUAGAAAAGAAACAUCAUGCACAAAUCACAAGGAUGAAAUACCAUACCCAACUUGCUAAAUCCCCAGAAGAUCAAGUAUUCUUGCAAAAACCAAGAUCAAAACCCCAUUAAAAGUACAAUACAUCUUGUCCUUUUUAAGGUAAAAGAGAGAGAGAAACAGUGCAAUCUAUGUUGCUUUCCUUUCUCUUUCGUGACUGGAAGCUAGUAAAAGCAAGUCAAAACAAAUUCUGUUGGACAAAAAAGAAAACCACAGCCACCACACAAUGUAGUUCAACAUAAAGCAAAGAAACAGAUCUAGAUCAGCUCAUCCCAAUAGAAACAGACCCUUUAGCAUAUUUAACCCCCCCCAAAAAAAAAGGUUAAGAAGUACUGACCUGAGCAAGAAUUCAGAGAGAAAUUGUUUUGGUUUUGGCCAGGGAAUGCCAAAGUGCCAACGCUAAUGCUGCAACGCAAAAUGUAAUGUGUUGCACUAUAUAAAGAUGGAUUUUAACUAGAAAAGAGAUUAAAAAAAAAAAGGGGGUGGGGGCGGUAGCAGCUGGUGAUGGUUCAAGAGAUGAAUGUAAAGGUACAAAUCAGAAUACAUUUAAGUAAUUGUAGAAUGUACAUGGGCGUGAGGAGAGGAGGUGAGGCUGUCUAUUAUUCUUUAUUAGAUGUUGUUUUCACUUUCCAGACUUGGAUGGUUCUUUCUUACCGGGCAAAACAAAGCAUGCUUUCUUGGAAAUCUUUUCAAGGUAAGAAGAAAUAAAAAUGGGUGGCAUUUCUUAAUCAUGUAUCUGCUCAUUAUAUAUAUAUAUAUAUAUAUAUAUAUAUAUAAUUCUUGAGACACCCACCUUGCACUCUACCCUAACAUUAUCAUAAUCUCUCUCAAUUUAUCAUCUCAUGAUAAAUCAGCCUCCUAAAGGAUUUUGAUUUCAUAGAUGGGUUUGGUAAUGCACUGAUACUAAUUUUUCUUUAUUUCGGGAUGUAGUCAGAAAUAGUUUAUUGGCCGUCGUGAUUUUUUCUAAGCAUAAAAAAAAUUAAUAAAACAUGAGAUUAGAAAAAAUAUAUAUAUGAAUUUUUUAGCCAACACACAUUGUAAACCCUCGUGUAAACAUAAGAUCAAAAGUAAUAAAACUAGAAAAAAUAAAUAAAUAAAAAUAAAUAAAUAAAUAGUACAUGUGAUGUGUAAAGGGAAGGUAUGACAUCUAUAAAUAAAUUUAAAGGUAUUGAUGAAAUUAAAAUGAGGACUAGAAAAUUUAGUUUCAAAUUCAUAACGAUAGUAUAAACAGUAAUAGGUUUCAAUAGAUAGAAGAAUUAGAAAAAAUUAAAAUAAAUGUGUUUUGAAAGUGAUAAAAUAAUUCCAAAGAGUUAUAAUGAAAAUGAGGAAUUAAAUUUAAGAAAUAAUUACAUGAAAAAGUGUUGGUGUAAACCCCGGUUAAAAAUCAGUAAACUUACCGUGAAACAAUAAAAAAUCUGUAAACAAAAUAAAUUGUGAGAAGAAAAAAUAAAUAUAUUUUGAAAUAAUGAAAUGGUCCCAAGGAUUUAGUAAAAUGGUUAAUAUGACCUAUGUAAGGGUGGAAUAAGAGAAUUCAGAUUUUUGAUAAAAAAAUCAUAAACUAACUAGUUUUACGCUAUCAAGCAUAACUCUUCAUUUGACAGUCAGAUUAGACUGAAAUUUUACUUAAAGUCUCCUAACAUGUUUUUCUAUCCUGGGUUAAAUUUCAUGCCAAUCAAAGUUUGGUAAGGCCAUACAAAAUUAUCAGUGGCUGAGAGAAAAUCCAGAAAAAUAGCAUGUUAAUAAUAAAUAAGGGCAAAAAUGCAAUUGGCCAGACAAUUCCAGCUUCUUCUUCUUUUUAAAUGGUUAGUCAUUUUUGGAGGGGAGAGAGAGAGAUCUUUUUCUUCAUUUUUGUUCAAAUCAUCCUUGAAAAAUCACCAUAAAUGAGAGUUUUAGGGAGAAAAUGGAAGAAAAGAGGGAAAAGAAUGGAUCAUUGACAGAAAUUUAUGAGAAAAAGAGAGAAAUUUUUUGAUAGAGAGAGAAAGUAGAAGAUUAAAGAAGAAAAAAGGUAAUAGAAGCUUUGGACCAUGGAAAUUGUCAUUAAAUUGAAUUUGAAAGGGUAAAAAAGCUUUCCCUUACAUUUAUAUUCAAGUUUUAGUUGAUUUUGAUUAUGUGUUAAAUAAGUUUGAAAAAAGGGUUGGGGUUUGUUGAAUUAUGGAUGAAGAAAUGAUAUUUGUAUGAGAAAUAAGUUGUUAGAUUAUGCAAUAUAGUUGUUUAAGUGGAAAUCUUAAGAAAAAAAUUGAAAUAAACCAAUAGGUGUUUUGACCAUAAUUGGUUGGCCAUGGUAGAAGAAUUUAGAGAGGGAUUGUUGAUGUAAUUUUAGUGAAUUGGUGUGUGUUAAUGUGAUUGUAUAAGUUUAUGAGAUUAUAAUUAGGUAGAAAUCUUAAUGAUAAUUGUAAAUUUAAUGUUGUGUGAAUGUUUAGAAUGUGUAAAAUGAAAUUAUUGAAAAUUUAGUAUGGUGAAUUGUUACUUAAAUGAUGGUAUAAUACAUUUGGUGUUAAAAAGAUUAACAUGAUGAAGUAAUAAUUUGAGAGGAUGGGAAGAGUUAUACGUUUUGGGUUAAAUUGUUAAUAAAAGUUUUCUUUAUGAAACUUGAGAAAUAUUGGUUCCUUGAUUAAAUCAAAAUGUUGUGAUGUUGUGUAAUGGUAGGAUUUUGAAUAAGAUAAGUUUGAGAUUAUUAUAUAAAUUAAAGGGUUCAAGCAAUUAAAGGUAUGUUGCAAUAUGAUGAGAUAUAUUAGAAUGAGAUUGAAUAAAUGUUAAGGAAUUGUGAGUGGAUGAGGUAUCAUUAAAAUAAUAUGUAUGAAUAUUAAGAAUAUUCAUGAGUGUAAGUUAAAAUAAACUUAUUGAGAAGGUUGAACUAUUGUAAAUACGUUAUGAAUGAUUGAGAAAUUGUGUAAUAGAAAUUGUAUUGAAGAAAUUGAAAUCACUUGUAAAGGUUCAACCAUUAGUGAUCAACCAUGUGAGAUUUAGUUGGAAGUCGUGUGUUUGAUUUGGACUAUAAAUGCUAUGAUUAUAAAUUGUAUAUUAGGAUUUAGUUAUGAUCAUUUGAGUUAAGAUAUGAGGAAUAAAUUUUUAUCGGUGUGUAGAAGGGAGAAUAAUAACAUUGCAUAUAAGGUGUUUGAUAAAAUGUAUGAAAGAGAUGAAUAAGCUAGUGCUUAAGGUGUGGAUAAAACGACAUCAAGGGUGUUAAAAUUAAAUAAAUGGAUAGUUAUGUAUGUGUUUGGCCAAGCAGAAUGCCGAAAUUGUAUAGUUGAAUUUUAAGUAAAUGGAUGUUAAUAGGUGUGUAAAGUAGAUAUAAAUAAAAGUAGUGUAUCUAAUAAAUCAUUUUUUAGAAUGAUACGAUGAAUUAUUUUGUACCGACUUAGGAGAGACUCUAGAAAACUUACCAUGGAUCGGAAAAACAGGACCUACGUGUGAAUCAGGUAAGUGUCUUACAUCUUGACAAUUUCAUUUGUAUCAUUUAGAUAUUUUUUUAAACUACAGUUUCUUUAAAGAUGUAACUCAUGAAUAUUCAAUGAAAUAUUAAAAAGAAGGAAAAAAAUGUUAAUUUAAUUUAGUUACCUAAGGUAAUUCAGAAGCUAAUGAUAUCAAUGUGAUACAUUGAUACUAGUAUUUACUUAGAUGAAAGCAUAUUGGUUAAGGAUUUGAUUAGUCAUUUCUAUAAUGAAGACUAAUAAUGCCAAUGAAGUUUCAUUGACGUUGGCAUUAACGUGAUGACAUUAAAGUGUUGAAAAUGAACUUGAUUAGCUUUCCUGAUUCAGAAAGCUAAUGAUAUCAAUGAAUUGUAUUGGUAUCAACAUCUCUUAAACUUGAUUAGUCAUUCUCAGUUUGGGAGACUAAUGAUACCAAUAGAUUGUAUUGGUAUCGACAUCUCUUAAAUUUGAUUUGUCGUUCUUGGUUUAGAAUACUAAUGAUACCAAUGGAUUGUAUUGGUAUCAGCGUCUUUUAAAUUUAAUUAGUCAUUUCUGGUUUGGAAGGCUAAUGAUAUCAAUAGAUUAUAUUGGUAUCGACAUCUCUUAAACUUGAUUAGUCGUUCCCGUUUUGAGAGACUAAUGAUACCAAUGAUUGUAUUGGUAUCAAAAACUCUUAAACCUGAUUAGUCGUUCCUGAUUUGAGAGACUGAUGAUAUUAAUGAAUUGUAUUGGUAUCGAUAUCUCUUAAAUUUGAUUAGUUGUUCCUGAUUUGGGGAGCUAAUGAUACCAAUAAAGUUCAUUGGUAUCAGUAUAAACAUGAAAGGAAUAUAUAAAAAAAGGAUUUAAUUAGCUAUUCCUGAAAAAGAAAAUUAGAAGGAUAAUAAUGUCAAUAGGUUUGUUGGCACCGACAUGUACUAGAAAAUUUGAUUAGAUAUCUGAUGGAAUAGAAGCGAAUGAUACUAAAGGAAUUGGUGUCAGCAUACCAUUAAUUAGCCACACUUGAGGUGAUGGCUAAUGAUAUCAAUUUAGGAAUUGAUGUCGACAUCGAUCAAUUGACCAAGUUUAUAGGUGACAGAUGAUAAUAUUAUGUUAGAUGUUGAAAAUUCAUAUAAAAGACAAAGGAAUAAUAAGUAAAUGAGAUAAAAAGAUUUUACUUAUCAGCACGAGAUAAAGGAAAGAGAACUUAGCUAUAUUUAUCUGAUGUAAUAUUUUUAGUGAAAUUAUUUCAUUUGUUUAUCAACACUUUAUAAUGUGUUAUAUAAUUAUUUGUAUUUGAUAUUGGAUGGUUUGAAGUUAUUGAAAUAUAGUUGAUGUAGAGCAUGAUCUAGGAUCACUGGAUUAAGGGAUUGAGACUAUGAGUACAAGUAAAACAGGUUUAAGUCGAUAAUUUAAGAAUGAUCCACUUUAAAGAGAAACUUUGUGGAAAUCUCUGUAGAGAUAAUAAUGACCUUAAAAGAUUUUGUUUAUGGUAUCAUGAAUUGAGGUUGUUAUGUCUGAACUAGAUUUAAAGGUUGGGGUUGUUGUUGCAAUUAUGGCUAAUAGACCUUGGAUAUCAUAAGAUACCAUUUAUAUGAAAUUUAUUGUGUAUAAAGGAUAUUAAGACAAGUGUUAUUAAGAAAGGAGAUAAACUGAUGAAGACUUACAAAUGUAUUUUUGACUAUCAAUUUUAAAAAAGAGAUAAAAGGUGAAAAAGAAUGUGCUAAUUCAUAAUAUGAUUAUUGUUAGUACAUUAUUGAAAAUCUUAAAUUUGAAUGAAUUCUUAGGAUCAUAAUAUCCUCGAUCAUUAACAUGUUUGUGGAGCGUUUAAAUAAAGAAAGAGAAGAGAUAUGCAAAUGUGUGUGAGAAGAUCACGAGUGUACAUAGAGAUAAUAUGGUAGUGAGUUGAAUAAGUAUUCCUUGUUAAGUGAAAGGAAAUGUUAGAGGUAUUGGUUAUGAAUACAAGUGGUUUAUAAUUCAUAUUAUUUAUGUGUUACAAGCAUGGUUGUGAAAGGUUGAAAUAACAAUGUGUAAUUCAGAGUAAUUGGACUAUGAAAAAAAAUUAAUGCUAUAGUUAGAAAAAGAAAAAGAAAUAAAGAUGUCAUUAUCCAAAGUAUUUGUUUUACAAAAAAGACAAAAAGGAUAUUGCGUAUUGUUUUAGAUAAAUGUAUGUUUCAUGAAUAAAAUGCAUAAUUUUUUAUAUUAAAAUGAUUAAUUUUAUAUAUGUAUAUUUCAGGUCCAUCACAUUUGUCAUUACAGUAAAAGUAUGGUAGUUAGGUUUUUAUAGCCAUCUUAAGUAGAGUUUUGUUGUUUUUAUGUUAUGUAAUUAAUUGAAAUGUAUGUGUAUUUUUUUGGAGUUUUUAUCUAGUGAAAUAUUAAAUUACUAGUUAAGUUGGAUUUUCUUUAUACAUGUAUGUUAUAAUGAUAUAAGGACCUCAUAGAAACAUAUAUAUAUAUAUAUAUAUAUAUAUAUAUAUAUAUAUAUAUAUAUAUAUAUAUGACAAUUAAUGAUGGAUUAAGAGUAUGCCUGGGGCUAUUUAGGUACCGGUUGUUAAAUGUGAUAUUUAUGAGGGAUUAUAUAGGAAUUUGACAGGCUAAAGUUAUGGAUAAGAGUUCUGUGUGUGUGUGUAAAGGACAUUAUAGUGAUGUAGACAAUGAAUGAUGGAUUAAGGGUAUGUCUGGGGCUACCUAGGUACUAGUUGUUGAAUGUGAUAUUUAUGUGAGAUUAUACAGUAAUUUGACAUGAUGAGGUUAUGGAUAAGAGUUUUGUAUAAAUAAAACACUGCUAAAAUUUUAUAAAAAUGAACUAAGUAGAGACAUAUAAAUACUAUGUUAAUGUAAUGUAGGAGAUAUGAGUAUUUUGAUUUUUUUAAAAAAAUUACUCAAAUUCUUACGUGAUUAUUUAAAAUGAGAAUAAAUGCAGCCAAAAGUUCAGCAUGUUAUAUAUAUAUAUAUAUAUAUAUAUAUAUAUAUAUAUAUAUCAUUAAUGAAUUGGAAUAAAUAUCAUUUACAGAUCAUUAAUAAGAAACAAAUAUCCCUUACAGAUCAUUAAUGAACAUUAAUGAGACCUUGAGAGAUAUUCUAUACAACUACAGGUUUGAGAGAUGAUUAUUCCUGACAUGAAUAGAUCAUAUUAAUAAUUUAAAGAUAGAACCAUAUAAUCAUAACAUAGAUCUACAAGACUUAUUGGGUCUGACGUAUAGACUAACUUAAAAGAGAUAAGUCUGGCAAUUCAUCAGACCUAUGAUACCCUGGGCUCAACUCAUGAUUGAACCCAAAUAUACUGGGUCUGACAACUUACCAGACCUAUAGUACCUUGGGCUUAGCUCAUGGUUGAUCCCAAGUAUGUUGAGUCUAGCAUCUUGCUAGACCCACGGUGCCUUAAGCUCAAUACAUGGCCGAAUCCAAGUAUAUUAUGUUUAGUAACUCGUUAGGCCCAUGGUGACUUAAGUUCAGCUCAUGGAUGAACUCAAGUAUACUAGAUUUGACAACUCACCGAACCCAUGAAGACUUGAGCUCAGCUCACAGCCAAACUCAAGUAUAUUAGGUCUGAUAAUUUACUAGACCCAUAACACCUUAGGCCCAUCUUAUGACUAAAAUCAAAUACAUCGGGGUUGAUAGAUUGUUAAACUAACAUUUAAUUAGGUUAUCAUCCUAUAAUAGAUUUGGAUUAUUUCAAAGCAUAAAAUAAUAUUGGAUAAAAAUAUAUUUACUCAUUAUAAAGCCAAGAUGAAAUUAAUAGAUUCAUCUAACUUUUGGAAAAAAAAAAGAAAAGGGAAUCCAUUAUUUUAAUUUUCUAUGUUAUUGUGAUUAAAAUUUAGUUAUUUUUUCUUCUUAAAAACACAUUUUAAAGCCACAAUCUCCCAAAACCAAUCAAAGUAUAAUUACUGUAUUUUUCAAUGCUUAGAAUAAAUCCUUCAAUUUCAUUUGACUACAAGACUCGGGUCCCACUUAAAUUGUUGAUUCUCAUGAGUCAUGACCAUGUUGAAUUUUGGUUUCAAGUAACACAAUAAAAAAAUUAAAGAAUCAUUUUAUUUCUAUUUAUAAAAUUAUCAGUUUUGGUUUGGUUUAAAAAUCAAUUUAAGUGUAGAUUCUCGAAGAAAAGAACAUUGAAUUACAUCUCAUCAAAUUGGUCAAAAAUAAGAACAAAGCAAAUUAGGAAAACCCAAGAUAUGGAAACGAAAGUGAGAGAGUUUUUUGGAAUCAAAAUAUCGUAGGGCAUGGCUUUGGUGUGAAAUAAUGGAGGGUGAGGGUGGUGCCGUGGUGGUCAAGAGUGAGGGCCCGCCAUGAUUUUUGGGCCAACCAGCAUUUCGCUGUCCCAGCCCCUAAAUUCCACCCUUGACCCUCAAAAUUCAAGGAUCUCAUUUUUUACGAGGGAAACGUCAUCGUUUCUUCGAUAUUUUCCACCGACACUUAUUUGUGCUUAGUGUACAAGUUGACCAAAAUGAAACGAAGGAAUUAACUCAAAUAUUAUUAAUAUGUUCAUCACAUGAAAUUCAUCUUUCAUAUAACCAAACCUCACAUUGUUUUUCUUUAGAGAUUUUCUUUUCCAUUUCGUAAAUAAUAAUUCCGUAAUAUAAAAAAAAAUGUUAUUUAUAGAAGAACAUAAAUAUAACUAUCAAAAUAAAUAAUAACAGUUAGUUGAUUAACAGAUUUAAAAUUUUGGGUCUCAAAAGCGUUUUAAAAAAAGAUUAAUUUUUUUUUUAUUUUUUCUUUGCUUCAAAUUAAUAUUUUUUAAUAUUUUUAGAUUAUUUUAAUGUACUAAUAUCAAAAAUAAUUUUUUUAAAAAUAAAAAAUAUAUUAUUUUGAUAUUUUUAUGAGUGAAAAACCCUUUGAAAAACAAACGCAACCAUACUUCCAAACAUGCCAGCAAGUUCCAACUAUGAGUUGGGUUUUUAUUCUUAAAUGGUUUUUUUUUUUUUUUUGCAAUUCAAACUUGAGAAAUUAAACAAAUUAAUGAAGCAUCUCAAGUGAUGAUUUAUUAUGACCUGUAUCCUUAUUAAUAUUUAUUAAAGCACGAGGCAUGUGAAGUCAUGGGGAUUUGAGGACAUAUCGGGCAAGUUUAAUCUCCUAAUCAUAACUUAAUCAACAUUGACUUCGGGUUAGGAAGGUGGGAUUUGUCUUGUGAACGUAGAAGGAAAAAAAACCCAUAAAGAAGAUUAUUCUGUCUUGUGCUUGGUGAAGGUCUUGUGGCAAUAUCAAGACCGAUCGACCAAAUUAGUUGGUUAGACCUUGAUUUUCGCACAUGGGUUUUUUUUUUUUUUGUUUUUAAGAAAUCAUGGCAUUACAAUUAAACUAAUCAAUAUCAUUAUCAAGAGGGUUAGCGAGCUAAAUAUACAUUAUUCGGUGGAGGGUCUCUUCAUGUGUUCAUCAACUAAUCACGACCUUACAUAAUCUGAUUCCACCCAUCUAUACAGUUAAAUUCAAUUUCUCAGUUAACAACUUGUUUAAGAACUAAAUCUAACACUCGAAAGAGUAGCUUAAAAGUUACUUGCCAUUCCCAACAAGCUCUCUCUUUCUCCUGUGAGAAUAAUUAUUGCUAGCAAGAAGAAUGUUGGGGAAAAAGAAAAGAAAAGUCCAGGGCCAAGUUGGAUUCUUGACAAGCAGGGAAAGGCUAAUAUCAACCUGGAGCCAGGGUGGAGGUAGAGGUCAGAUGGGAGGUUACUUUCAACUGUGUAUAGCAGUUACGGUGGCCCUUUCAAGCUCAUAUGCUCCAUAUUUUGUUGUUGUUGACGAGUCUGGUGGCCCUUCUAGAGGUCGGUUUUGAUUCUGAAACUUGCAUGGUGAAAAAUAGUGUUAAUUUCAUUUCGUGAGGGAGUCAUAGAGUAUUAUUAUAUGUUGAUGUCGCCGAGGAAAGGAAAGAAAACAAUAUUGUAUAUUGAAUUGGGUUGGGUAGAUUCUACUUAUCAAAGAGCUCACUGAAGUCUCACAGCCCAAGACUGAUAGACCCAAAUAAGAGAUUACCAACCCCUAAAACAAAAUACCAGCCCACCUAAAAUCAUUACAUUUUGAAAUAUUAAUGUCUUAUUCCUUAAAUCGAGGAUUUUAAUGUCUUUUCAAGAAAACUCUUUUUUUUUUUUUGAAAAAUUAAUGUCAUUUAUUUCUUAAGCAUUUUAAGAAUAUUUUUCUUAAUCGAGGAUUCUAAUAAAUAAAGAAAAAGAAAAGAAUUGAGGAGGUUUACAAAAAUUAAAGCAAGUACAAUAUUCUAGCCAUGCCUGAAAGGAAUUUAAAUAGACACGUACAAUCAAAGCCAUCAUCUCCAUGACUAUAAAAUAUUCUCGUGACUCCUAAUUCAUAUAUAUAAACAUCGAGUAACCUGAGUUACACAACCUACUGCAGAAAUGGAGAAAAGGCAAGUACCUUAAAGACAUGCCAAGCUUUCAUUUAUUAAAAAGAAAAUUACCAUUUGCACUUUCUUCGUCUCUAUUGCUGUGAGAUAUCUGGCCACAGACAUGAUUGCAAGAGGUUAAUGGAACUAGAGACAACAAUUAAACAUGGCGUGAAGAUCAGGGAAGACAUGGAACUAGUAGUUUAAGAAUUAUAACUGGGUGAGACAGAUGUGUGAAAAGGUUGUUGGAAGAAUGAUCGAUCAUUCAAGUAGCAGCCCAUUCUUUUCGAAUGCCAAAGGUGUAGUUGAUCUCCAAGUAGCACUUGUUAUCAUCAUCAAAAAACUGAAAGAAACAGAGAUGGUUAGGACAAAUUAAAGGGAGAUGCCAUAUUGUGAUUUUGCAUCAGAGUACUGUUUACUAGCAGAUUAUUAAAAUGAAGAUCUCUUUCUUCUUUUUGAGAUUAUAUUCAAAGAAAAACCUCAAAAAGUUUAAAACUAACCUUCGACCUUGCAGAGUAUGAUCCUCUAGCAAACAUGCCCGAGGGUGUGGUCUCCUCUGGAUUAACAUGCGUGUAAGCCUCUGGCUGAGGACUGUAGGUUCCAAGCAUUUCUUUUGUGCUGUCCACUGAGUCAACAAAGACUGAUUAUAAGGGGGGAAACGUUCAAGUGUUUGGAGCACAGGUUUUGGCACGAGUCAGGAUGUAGAUAGCUCACCCUUGACGCCAGUUUUCCAAACAGUAUUGGUGUACUUGAGGCCAGACACAAUGUUAUUACUGACUUGGAAGGAGAAUUUCAAGCUAUGGGGACUGCCUUCUUUCAAUGUAAACCACAAGCCUUUGGGCUUCCCAUUCUCAGGAAUAGAAAGUACGAUGUCUGGUCUUCCAGGAGAGAGGAUCGAAAGAUUAAGAAAUUUCACAUCUGGUUCAAGCGUUUCUGCAAUAAUGAAAAGAAAAACAAGAUUAUUUAGAGGAUUAAAUAAAAAAAGAAAAGGAAAAGAAUUCUGUUCAAAAUUCUUCAUUAUCUUUGUUGGAACAUGAGCAACUCUAGCUAACAGAAUAUGGCACAAGAAUUCGAUCGGCAUACGCACAAGGAAAGGGAUUCAAAAUUCUCUGCAUGAACAUGUAACAUUAAUUAUAGAAAUGAAAGAAUUAACAGAAACCAAGAUAUAUUUAAAGAAUUUCAGAAGUUAGAAUCCAACAAACUCGCAUAAUUUUAGAUAAGGAAAAAGAAAAUAUGACGACAUGCAUGCACCUCCAAUGUUGUUCAAAUCCACACUCCCAAGAAGCUGCUCCUUCCAUUUCCUCAAGCUCUCAUCAUCCUGAACUUCCAAAAUCCAUGCACCAAUAUAUGAAAAAUGAAUUAACAAAUGCAUUUUCAUAACUAAAAAUGGAACAUGAAAUAAUAACAACAACAAAAGAACAAACCUUGUCUUUUUCAAGCUGUUCUUUGAGGGUGUACUGAGGACCCAGCUGAAGUUUGUUGGUUCCGUUCUCGUCAUCUUCCUCUUCGUGAUCAGUCGCAUACAUAGAGGUCUCACUCUCACUCAUCUGCCUUCCUAUCCUCACUCCACCAUCAUGAUCCUCGUCACGUGUUUCCAGAACUCCACUUUUCUCUCCUCCUUCCUUCUUCUUCUUCUUCUUGUCGUCAUCAAACCCCAUAUUUCUCAAACUUGAUGUAGCUCCAAUAGCCAAAGACAUCAACUUUAAGAUCUAUAACAAUGCACUACAAAUUUAUAAACUUUGAACCCAAAAAAGAAGAAGAAACGACGAUAGAAAGAUUACUGGUAAGAAUUUGUUAUAUCGAAGGAAGAAAGAAAAAAGACUGAAGAGAAUCCAAAAUGGGAGCAAAGUUAAUUUAUCACUUGACUUUUGCCGCGUCGAAGAAAAAGAGGCAAGAAAAGGCCAAAAGAUAUUUUUGUGCAGACUCCACCUAACGAGAGACAAAUAAAAGACCCACAAUCCACAAACAAAAGCUCAGCAAAGACAAAAAGAAAAAGAAAAGGAAUAACUAGGUUUGUCUUGUCUCCUGGCUUUUCUUGUCCUUCUUUUUUCUUUCGGUUCGGGUGGAUUGUUGUUGAAUCUCAAAACAAUUUGAGAUAGCUCGAGAGAGAGAGAGAGGCAAAAAAGAUUGGGAAUUCGAUUUGAGGUAGCUGAGAAAAGGUCAUGGGGUGAUCCGAAAUAUCAGAAAGAAGGUGAAAGUCACUAUAUUCUGUAAAGGGACAUGGUAGGUCGACGGAUUUUAAUGAAGCACAGUCUCAGCCUAGGAUUGAGGGUGAUCUUAACUGUCACUUUUGACUCUUUCUUUAAAUAUCUAUGCAAAUAAUCUAACAAGAAAAGAAAAACUUACUAGCAGUCAAUGGACCGUGAUUGGUGUCUUCUAGUUGUUUUCGUUAAUUAAUGAUGCCAUGCAUGCAUUUAUUAACUUCCAAUCCUCUUUUUUUUUUUUUUUCAAUGAUUCAAGAAAUUCUCAUGUCACUUUUACAUAUCAAAAUUAAGUUAAUCUUUCUAGUACAAUUAAAAAAAAACUCAUGACCUUCUCUCGCAUAGACUACCACAAAAUCAUAGUUAUCAAAUCCGGUUUGAGGUUGACACAACCAAGAAGCUGGGUCCCGGGUCACAAGGGUUGACCAGGGUCAACCUGAAAAUUUUUUUAAAAAAAAUUUAAGAUUUUAAUAUUUCAUAUGAAGAAAUUAAGAAACAAUCCAUGUGGAUAUAUACUAAAAAAUUAUUUCAAAAGGUUUUUUAUCCCACAUUAAAAAAAUAUUAUCUUAUCCUUUUAAGUUGAAAUAUUUAAAUCAAAAUUUUUUUUUAUUUCACGUUAAAAAAACACAAUGUUUUUCUUGUGAACAUAAAGUAAAUAUAUUAAUGGACUUCAAAUUUCACAUUGAAAAAAUAAAACUUCUUCUAGUAUUUAUAUAGUGAACUUUGAUAUGAGUUAGUAAACCCGGCCAGGCCCUGGGUUAUCCGGGUCCCGGGUCAACCUACCGGGCUAGGCCGGGUCUGAUAACUAUGCACAAAACAACAAACAAAUACAACAACAACAAAAAAACAAGCAUUGAAAAUCAAAAUAGAUUCAAGGGAAAAUUUACAUUUGUGGUCGAAACGCCACCAUUUUCUCUCUAAAUAAUCUUUCCUAUAAGUUUCUCUCUCUCCCUUCUUGCACUUUAUCUCUCUGCUCCUUUCUCUCUCCUCUCUUGCAUCAUAUGACCUUUCUCUGUCCUCACACCUCGGGGAGGAAUAUGAUUAGUGAUUGUGAGAUCUCUCUCGCCUAUCUACCUUCUUUUCUCUUUUUUAAGAUCUUUCGCGCUUAGUAUCAUCGUGCCUAGAUGAUUUAUGAUGGUUACGAUGGUGAGAUUCUUUGUCCAAUUGGUUUUUGUGGUGGUCACAAGUGAGUUUGAAGGAGCAAUCUAUUGUAAUCAAGGGUUUUAAAUUGUUAAUACUCUCUUAUCUCAUUCACUCUAUUUCUCAAUUUACAAAAAAGAAGACAAUGCAAAGAACUAAAAGAUUUUGUUACUCUCUUAAUCCCACUCACUUUAUUUCUCGAUUAGUAAAAAAGGUAAGCAAAAAUGGUGCAAGAAUUGAAGAGCAACUUCAG